rnacentral:rRNA from 1 species
GACGAACGCUGGCGGCGUGCUUAACACAUGCAAGUCGAACGGAAAGGCCCUGCUUUUGUGGGGUGCUCGAGUGGCGAACGGGUGAGUAACACGUGAGUAACCUGCCCUUGACUUUGGGAUAACUUCAGGAAACUGGGGCUAAUACCGGAUAGGAGCUCCUGCUGCAUGGUGGUGGUUGGAAAGUUUCGGCGGUUGGGGAUGGACUCGCGGCUUAUCAGCUUGUUGGUGAGGUAGUGGCUUACCAAGGCUUUGACGGGUAGCCGGCCUGAGAGGGUGACCGGCCACAUUGGGACUGAGAUACGGCCCAGACUGCUACGGGAGGCAGCAGUGGGGAAUAUUGCACAAUGGGCGGAAGCCUGAUGCAGCAACGCCGCGUGCGGGAUGACGGCCUUCGGGUUGUAAACCGCUUUCGCCUGUGACGAAGCGUGAGUGACGGUAAUGGGUAAAGAAGCACCGGCUAACUACGUG